rnacentral:rRNA from 1 species
UACGAAGGGGGCUAGCGUUGUUCGGAUUCAUUGGGCGUAAAGGGUGCGUAGGUGGCGCGCUAAGUCAGGUGUGAAAUUUCGGAGCUUAACUCCGAAACUGCAUUUGAUACUGGCGUGCUUGAGGACUGGAGAGGAGACUGGAAUUCAUGGUGUAGCAGUGAAAUGCGUAGAGAUCAUGAGGAAGACCAGUGGCGAAGGCGGGUCUCUGGACAGUUCCUGACACUGAGGCACGAAGGCCAGGGGAGCAAACGGG